GCUGAAUCCAUUUUGCAAGGGUACCUGGAUGAUUCAGGAUACAGUAUCCAGGACCUGAAGAGCUUUCAUUUGGUAGGACUUGGUGCAACCCUGUGUGCUAUAAACAUCACUGAAAUCCCACUUAUAAAGAUCUCAGAAUUCAGGGUGGUAGUGGCCAGAAUUGGGACCCUGCUCUGCAGCACACAUGUCUUAGCUGAGUUUAAGAGGAAGGCUGAAGUUGUGUUUGGGGAUCCCACUGAGUGGACCAGUUCUGUCUUGCAGGAGCUUGGGACCAUUGCAGGUAAGACUCACCCUGAGCAUACCUUUCUCUCCCUUUCCAAACUCAAAUGUGGGGACACAAAAUAAAACAUUAUCCUUGGCCAUGUGUAGCAAACAUCAGUGGCGUUACAGUAGAACCUACAUUUCAUGAUUUGAAGUUGCAGAGGGUGGGUCUGCAAAUCUGCUUUUAAAACAAGCUCUUUUGGAGAUUCUUGUGUACACUAAAGUUUGGAAAACCGCUAGUUUAGAAUGUGAUUUAAUUGGCCCCUAAGUAGGUUUAUACAAAAUUUGAAAGUGUGUAAAUUGAAGUUCCUUCUGGGCAUGCGUUUCACUGUAGGAGGCCAAUCAGGGCUAAUGUGACCCACAUUUUUUUUUUCUGAGUUGAUGAAGGAACUUGAUUCCCCAGUGUGAUUUCCAGGGCCUUUUGUAAGGAAUGAUGCCUGCCUAGAACACUCAGAUCUGAGCAUUAUGCAGCACCAUUAAUAAAACAAGCGGUUCUGAUGGCUUGAACUAAACCCCCGUGAUUCCUUUUUCUCCCCAGCUGGAUUAACUAAGGCAGAGCUCCGGAUGCUUGACAAGGAUUUGAUGCCAUAUUUCCAGCCAUCAGCAAUAAAAUGCCUUCCUGAUGAGAUAUUCAAAGUAGGUGCUCAGUUCUUCAAGGAGAAAUGGGAGCUUGACCCCAUUUCAAAUCACACAGGGAAACAGGUGAUGGGCCUUGGAAUUUAGAGGCUUGUGACCAGGCUCUGCUGAUGGGGUCAGAGGAGAUCUGUGUGAGUUUAGGUGUUUUUAAAAAACAUUUUUUCUUAAAAUUACAAUAUGUAGUUUAAUUAUAUUUAUUUUUAUGGUCAUCUUCUCUCUUCAUCUAGCAAGUGAUGAUUAUCUACUUUAAGAGUAUGGUGGUAUGACAGGUUCAUAAACCCUUACAAAAACCCCUGGGGACAGAUAUAGUUCAGAAAUCAGAAUUUCUCAGAUUUUGAAAAGAUCACCCUGUACAUUUACUGUAUGUAACUUCAUACCCCCAGCAGUGUCUGGGGAAGCACCUUGUAAGCAAACACACUAAUAUUUCUGUGAAGAAAUCUGUGACAAGCCACACUAAUUGGAAUAAAUAGAGACUAUAAAUAAAUAGCCUCACAUUACUUCAGGUCAAGUUUUGCCGAUAAAUAAGUUUGACUUAAACUUUGGGGGAAAACUUGCAGUUUUCAGAUUAUUUUUGGACUUUGGAAUUGCAGAUGAGGGAUUGUGGACCUCUGUAACAUUUCCUUUUAAGAUAUAAUUAAAUAAAAAUAUUUUAGUUGAUUUAGGUCAGGCAUGGUGGCUCACACCUGUAAUCCCAACAUUUUGGGAGGCUGAGACAGGCCAAUCACCUGAGGUCAGGAGUUUGAGACCAGACUGGCCAACAUGGUGAAACCCGGCCUCUAUGAAAAAUACAAAAUUAGCUGGGCGUGGUGGUGGAUGCCUGUAAUCCCAGUUACUUGGGAGGCUGAGGCAGGAGAAUCACUUGAACCCGGGAGACAGAGGUUGCAAUGAGCCAAGACCACACCAUUGCACUCCAGCCUGGGCAACAAGAGCGAAACAAUCUCUCUCUAUAUAUAUAUUUUUUCUAUAUAUAUAUAUAUAUUUUUAGUUGAUUUAAAGAAAAGUAUUAGGAAAAUCACAAGAAGACAGGUGAAAAACUGCUAUGAAAAAAUUGAGAGGGUGAAAUUGGAUCAUUUGAAGGAAGGGAAGCAGGGUAUCUAAUGACCUUGCAACCCUUUUUUCUGUCUGUAUACAAGAUUAGGGGAGUGUUUGGUGAGAAUAGUCUGCUCUGAUGAGGAGGCAGUGAUUCUGGUGUUCCUGUUUGCUGCGUAAUGUGGGAACACAUUUUGUCCAGCACUUCUGGAUAAAACACACAAACCAGGCUCGACAAACUCCCCCAGUGCCACAUCACUUGUUCAUUUCAAGAAAGAUAGCCGAGGCCGGGUGCAGUGGCUCACACCCGUAAUCCCAGCACUUUGGGAGGUUGAGGAGGGUGGAUCACAAGGUCAGGAGAUUGAGACCAUCGUGGCUAACAUGGUGAAACCCUGUCUCUACUAAAAAUACAAAAAAAUUAGCUGGGGUGGUCACGUGUGCCUGUAGUCCCAGCUACUCGGAAGGCUGAGGCAGGAGAAUGGCGUGAACCCGGGGGGCGGAGCUUGCAGUGAGCCAAGAUCGCUCCACUACACGCUAGCCUGGGCGACAGAGCGAGACUCUGUCUCAAAAAAAAAAAAAGAAAGCCGACCUUCAAUCACUUCAGCAUCCUGGACAGUUCCGAGCACAUUGCAGGCAUAAUAGCUGUUUGAGGGCAAUAAAUAGCAGUCCUCAAAGCCAUUGAGCAAAUACCUACUUCCCCUCUGGGGCACUCUGCAUGGGACAAGCAGCUUGGUCUUGGAUGCUGGCAUUUUGCUAAGCACUUUCUCUUGGUCUUGUUUGGAGUGCUGUUGUGCUGCUUCCUUGUACAGGUAUUUAUCUAUUCCAGAAAUCCCUACUGAUCACCUACAUUGUGGCAGGCUCCAGGGUAGGUG
ensembl:lincRNA